rnacentral:rRNA from 1 species
GACGAACGCUGGCGGCGUGCUUAACACAUGCAAGUCGAACGCUGAAGCCCAGCUUUUGUUGGGUGGAUGAGUGGCGAACGGGUGAGUAACACGUGAGUAACCUGCCCCCUUCUUUGGGAUAACGCCCGGCAACGGGUGCUAAUACUGGAUAUUCAUUGGUCUUCGCAUGGGGGCCGGUGGAAAGGGAGUUUCUGGGGGGGGAUGGGUCCGCGGCCUAUCAGCUUGCUGGUGGGGUGAUGGCCUACGAAGGCUUUGACGGGUAGCCGGCCCCGGCGGGUGGCCGGUCACAUUGGAUGUGCGGUACGGCCCAGACUGCUACGCGGGGCAGCCGUGUGGAGUAUGGCGCAGUGGGCGCUAGUCUGAUGCGGCGGCGCGGCGGGAGGGAUGGUGGCGUUCGGGUUGUGAAGCUCUUUCGCUCAUGGUGCAGCCUCAACAAUGGUUGUGGUGAGGGUAGUGGGUAAAGAAGCUCCGGCUAACUACGUG